ACAAGAUUUUAUUCUCAAAGAAACCCAGACAAUGAAGAACUUGAAAGCUGACAGUGUACAAAGCGACUUCGUGCGAGAGGAAGGUAUGCGACGAAACGACGGCUGGACAGAGAUCUACCUCUUCCAACAGGCACGGUGGAGCAAAAACUAAGAUCAUCUCUAAUCUGAAGAGGCUCGUGCUCCAACACAUGACUGGGGUCCGGGGCAUACUUCCGAAGCAUAGAGACAUGGAACACAUUAUGAAUAGUAGAUAAUUGAGGUGGGAGUGCCAAUUUGUACGCUACAAGUCCUAUUCUUUCUAAAAUUUCAAAAGAGCCUAUAUACCUCAGACUCAGUUUUCCUUUUUUACCAAAUCUCAUUAUCCCUUUCAUUGGGGCAACUUUUAGUAGCACUUUGGUCGCAGCAACGACUCAGUUUUUCCAAUCAAUGGUUACUGGUUAGUACGCUACACCUAGGGCACUGCAAGUUGGCUGUACGUUGGAGCAGUUUUCUAGUCAGCACCCCCCAACCUUUGAUGGCAGGUUAAAUGCUAUGGAUGCGGAUAGUUGGAUUGAAUGUUUGGAGCAGAUUUUUGAGGCGUUGUUCUGCACAGAUGAUCAAAAGGUUAUUUAUGCAACAUACGACCUAACAGACCUAGCUAACAACUGGUGGAAGUCAACUCGGGCACUUUUACAGAAUGAACUAGGGGAAGGAGUCCCCAUUACUUGGGAGCGCGUUAAGGAGGUAUUCCUGGAUCGUUUCUUUCCACAGUCUUUACGAGAGUCUAGAGCACGUCAGUUCAUGGACCUCACACAGGGAACGAUGAAGGUUGAUCAAUAUGCCACCAAAUUCAUGGAGCUGUCUCGUUACACUAGUUAUCUGAUUCCAGAUGAAGAAAAGAAAGCUGAGAAAUUUGAAUGUGGUCUGGACUGGAGAAUUAGAGAUCGAGUACGUGCCCUUAAGAUUCGAAAUUUUUCUGAGUUGGUGAAUCGAGCCGCUAUUGUUGAAGAAGGUAUCCUGGAGAGUAUCGAAUAUAAUAAUCAGAAGAAGCGUUAGCAAUAGUCACAACCUAUCCAAUCUACACGUAACAGGAAUAAGAAGCCUCACCAUGAUAGUCGUCCAGGGCCACAGAUAGGAGGACAGACUUAUCCUACAUGUUCAACAUGUGGGAAGAAGCAUAUGGGAAAAUGUUUAUAUGGCCAGACGUGUGCUUCAAGUGCGGGAAGCCGAACCAUUUAGCUCAUGAUUGCCCUAUGAAGAAAUUCGGGAAACCAGGAAAGAGUGGAGGACAGAAGAUGACAGCUACAGCACAUGUAUAUUCCCUCACCCUUGAUGACGCUGCGGUGUCAAAUGAUGUAGUCACAGGUGAGGAGAAUGAGGACUACAGGCAGGUGGGCCAAGUUUAGAAGGAGCGGACUGAAGAACCUUAGACUAUAUUUAUGAUUUCUUUUAAUUUAGUUGGUUUGGAAACUUGGAUAUGUCUAUGUUUUUUUUUAAAAUGGUUUAACUUAAAUUUUCUUUUGGA